CUACGGGGCGCUCCAGUGGGGAAUAUUGCACAAUGGGCGCAAGCCUGAUGCAGCCAUGCCGCGUGUAUGAAGAAGGCCUUCGGGUUGUAAAGUACUUUCAGCGGGGAGGAAGGGAGUAAAGUUAAUACCUUUGCCCAUUGACGUUACCCGCAGAAGAAGCACCGGCUAACUCCGUGCCAGCAGCCGCGGUAAUACGGAGGGUGCAAGCGUUAAUCGGAAUUACUGGGCGUAAAGCGCACGCAGGCGGUUUGUUAAGUCAGAUGUGAAAUCCCCGGGCUCAACCUGGGAACUGCAUCUGAUACUGGCGAGCUGGAGUAUGGUAGAGGGGGGUAGAAUUCCCGGUGUAGCGGUGAAAUGCGUAGAGAUCUGGAGGAAUACCGGUGGCGAAGGCGGCCCCCUGGACGAAGACUGACGCUCAGGUGCGAAAGCGUGGGGAGCAAACAGGAUUAGAUACCCGCGUAGUC
rnacentral:rRNA from 1 species